rnacentral:rRNA from 1 species
CCACCUACGGGAGGCAGCAGUAGGGAAUUUUCGUCAAUGGGCGCAAGCCUGAACGAGCAAUGCCGCGUGAAUGAGGAAGGUCUUCGGAUCGUAAAGUUCUGUUGAAGGGGAAAAAGAGCGGAGAGAGGAAAUGGUCUCCGAUUGAUAUUACCCUUCGAGGAAGUCACGGCUAACUACGUGCCAGCAGCCGCGGUAAUACGGAGGAUGCGAGCGUUAUCCGGAUUUAUUGGGUUUAAAGGGUGCGUAGGCGGAUUUUUAAGUCAGCGGUAAAAUGUCCGGGCUCAAGCCGGGCCGGCCGUUGAAAA